rnacentral:lncRNA from 10 species
ACCCACCAAGCCUGUCCUUUAUUAAUGGGUAUAUCUAAUGACUUUCUGAUAUUCAAGCAGAAACCUUUAGGCAGUGAGAGAGAAGCCAUGUGGACAUCUUGUGGGGAGAAGGGAAUUCCUGGUAGUGGGCACAGCAUGUGCAAAGGUCCUGAGGUAGGAGCAUAUUUGGUGUGUUUGAGGGACAGUGGGGAGGCUAGAGCAGAGUGACUGAGGGAAGGAGAAAAGGGAGGUGAGGUCAGAGAAGCAGCAGCAGGGCCCAGAUGUGUAGGGCUUUGUUGGCACUGUAAAAACUUCGGAUUUCUGUAGUCCCAGCACUUUGGGAGGCCGAGGCGGGCGGAUCACG